rnacentral:misc_RNA from 1 species
GAUGAAGAACGUAGCAAAAUGCGAUAAGUAAUGUGAAUUGCAGAAUUCAGUGAAUCAUCGAAUCUUUGAACGCACAUUGCGCCCGCCAGUAUUCUGGCGGGCAUGCCUGUUCGAGCGUCAUUUCAACCCUCAAGCACAGCUUGGUGUUGGGACUCGCGUUAAUUCGCGUUCCCCAAAUUGAUUGGCGGUCACGUCGAGCUUCCAUAGCGUAGUAGUAAAACCCUCGUUACUGGAAAUCGUCGCGGCCACGCCGUUAAACCCCAACUUCUGAAUGUUGACCUCGGAUCAGGUAGGAAUACCCGCUGAACUUAAGCAUAUCAAUAAGCGGAGGA